ACAAAUGAUGACUGAAAAUUAGAAGCCAUUUAAUUCAUAGUUUCAUACAUCUUUAGUAACAAACUUUGAACAGAAAACACAACAACAUUACAAGCAAAUCUAAUUCCAGACACCGUCUCUACAGAGAGAGCCUGUUUAAAACAAAAAAAAAUAAGAAAAGGGACCAAGAACAUAUCUAUGAUUUUUACCCACGUUGAGUCCUCGAUCCAAAUCCAUCGCUUGUCCAUAUUGCGAGAGACGAGAGUGGAUUUAUCGAAGCGGUGGGUCCGGUGGAUAUUAUAAGCCUUCAUCAUCGAUAUGCUGAAAUCGGGAGAUACUAGUGGUGAAAUCUGUGAUCUGAGAGUUUGAUGCUUGUGAUUAGUAGAGAGAGAAAGCGAGAGGAACCGAGGAAGAGAAGGAAGGGGUGAAGGUGCCGGAGGAGAGAUGAGAGAUCGAGAGGGGUGAGUUAUUGGGGUUUAUUGUGAAAGGGGGAAUAAUCAUUUGGGGCGAAGGUGCUGGAGUAGAGAGGAACUGAGAUGGAAGAUGAG
rnacentral:lncRNA from 1 species